rnacentral:lncRNA from 10 species
GUUUCUUUCUCUCCCUCCUCCUCUCUGGCAUCCAGGCCUUAAAGAGGUAGACUUGGCACUACCAGUGGCCUCAGACAAUAAGGCCAAUAAGCAGAGAGGAGGAGAAAUGAAACAUGAGGGAAGGCAUCGAGCUUGAGGAAGAGGCCCCAUUCAUCUCCGUACCCCAGGCCCUGGUACACAGCAGGCAGCUCCAGGCGGGCACGCAUCUUUGUUGUGUUCUCUGCUGACUAUAUCCUCAGCACCUAGAACUGUGUCUGUCACCUAAUAGAUGCUCAAUAAACCUGCCAGUAAUUUCAGCAAAUGAAACGUGGAACACGUCAAGGCCAGAGGAUGGAAAAGGCUCCAGUUUUGAUAAAAGGAGGCCUGCUUGGCUUGGAAUCCUCUCUCCUGCUGGUUGGGAGAUGCAAAGAUGUUUCCAGAGAGGGGCUGAUGAAUUGAGGGGAAAGAAAUGAGCCCAGUAUGAGUCCCCUUUCAGGGCUGAGCGUGUAUAAAACCAAACAACUUGGAACCGCUCCAAGAGAGGGGAUUAAAGCAACAUGUUAUUCUGAGUGAUUGCUUAAUUUAUUGAGCUGCGGCUGGAUCUGUAAUGAAAUACAGCCCUUGUAACUGAUAA